rnacentral:lncRNA from 1 species
AUCUGAUGCAAAUACAGAAUCUGGGUCCACCGUCAACCACGACGGCACCCGACCGUCCGAAACAGUCUACACACUACUGUAAAAUAAACUCGGCAUCCCAGCACGAGCAUAAAUUCUUUCUACACUAAUCUGAGUAUCCAUCGCGUACAAACUGCGGCAAUACAAACAAACUACAGCUCCUAAAGCUAAAUCUGGUAGUUUUCAGAAAAUGACAGUGUAGGAUCUACAGUUUUCUCCUAAGUCAAUUCCAAGUCCAAUAUGUAAAAUUAUAUUACUACUACUUAACUCCAAAUUCAGAUUUUAAGCCUAAUCCAUGAAUUCGAGUAUUAGCAAGAAAAAAAAUACACAAUACAUGUUGACGAUAUAAAAACUUAGGAGGUAUUCUGGCGAUUUCGGUAAACUUCAACUCACCUCGAAACACUAAUCCAACCAUGGCGAGAAGUCGAAAGAAGGGAAACACGCGUUCGCCCGGCCACCAACAGCGCAACCGCGACGCACGCACCCUCGAACGGCCCUCCGGAUCGACGUCGAAAAUCACCCGAGCUCUAGCCA